rnacentral:lncRNA from 1 species
UUAGGACAUAGGGAUAUUCUCUACAGUGGUGACACGUAGUAGGGGGGCAAGAGGUUGCUUAUUGGUUCGUUUUGGAAAUGAGAGUAAGGAGUUGGGGAUGAGGAGGUUGUGAGAGAGCCAUUUUUGAGAAAGUGAGCAACAAGAACGAGUUGGGUUUUUUUUUUUUUUUGGGAGAAAUGAAGAGCAUUCAGUAGAGAUGAUAUGGAUUUUGAGGGAG